CAGCACAAAUAAUAAAAUUGAAACAACAUAAUUUUAGAGGCUUAGCAUAGCCUCUGCAUGAGGACGUGCAAAUUUGUGAAG
rnacentral:snRNA from 1 species